UCGUAUUUUUCCGAGGUUUCAUUUAGCUCAUUCGUCUCUUAAGGUGGAGCGAAGUGUGUGCUGCUUCGCCAAUUAUAGUUGUGUAGGUGUGUGGUGAAGCAGAAAAGAUAAUGCUAAUGAGCAAAGGAGAAACUGUGAUCAGUAGCGAUCGGACAGCAAUACGUUUGACUAGUGAAAAAUAGGCUUGCGGUAAAGCGGCGUCCUUCCUCUGUAGAACAUUUUGCAAGACAGUUUUUGGUGCCAAAAAGUGAUGUCCUUUGCUCGAGUAUCAUAUUCGAUACAAAUAAUGUUCAUAAAAUUUGGAGAUAACAAAAAAAAACUUUCGUUACAUGUGUGGAAAGCGGCUCCCUUCCUUUGUGCAUAGAAAAAAUAUGUUGCAAGUGUUGAUUGUUUUUUGGAAGAAAAAAGUGAAAUCUUUUUUUCAAUGCGCUUUUUGGAAAAAUUCGUGUAUUAAAAAAUGUGGCCAUUGCAGGCGAGUACCACAUUUUAAAUGUGUCAAAGGUGUUUUAAAUGUGUCAAAGGAGUUUUAAAUGUGCCAAAGAAAUGUUAAAUGUGAAAGAAAAAUAUCGAUGUUUCAAAGCAAAAGAGCCGCAAAGCAGUAUUAUCGGCCGAAGUAAAUGUUUUCCUUUGGUUCAUGAAAGUCAAGUGUCUUUCGUAUAAACUAUCGUUUAGCCCGGCAUAUCACGUUAAAUUGGAAUCACAGCAUCUUCAAGACGCAGUCAUCGAAAUGCAAACAUAAUCAUUUGAGCGAAGGCACUGUAAGGACGCAAUUGACCCAGAGGAAACGGUUGACCGGAAGUUGAAUUGGACCAUGUAUGCGGGUGUGCACAAAUACGGAAAAUAAACAUUCAAACGGAAACAAACAGUCCGUGCCAAGUGUACAUCACCAUUAACAUCACUUAUUGCAUAUAGCGACACAAUACGUCGAGGUCGGUAGACUACGUGAUUAGUUAGGAAUAUUUGUCCAGUACACUAACAAAUUACAAUUAUUCCCUCCAGAGAGAUAACUUUGGCAGUAAGAAAGUAAAAAGGAAACCUAUAUACGCAGUAGCAUGAACAAAACAAAAAACGACAUUCUAUGAACGAUAGAAACUACGUCGUUAUCCACGGUAUUAGCGAUAGAAUUUGGGGGCUUUUACCUGUUGUUGUAAUUUGAUUCGAUCGCAUUUAUAUUAAUAUCGCACCGGUAAGAGUGUGAUGGCUGUAGAAGAAACUCGCCAGUAACAAAUUCAAGCACGCAACGCCGACUCAUGUAGGCGCUUAGUAGUUCGUACGCAAACACGGAGACGAAAACAUGUGUCCCAGGUAACGACGACGUUUUUAUUUUGUAUAAGUUAUCAGAGAAACAAUCCACCGCAGCCUGUAAUGUAACAAGAUAGCUUUGAUUUGCUACUAUCGGAUGGCCUAUUUGCUCACGUUUUCCUUGGAUGCCAUUACCGUACCCCCGUUUUUUAUUGGUAGUUAGUGUGUUUGGAAAAGUGGUAUUCGCGACUCUGAAGCAACAGACGUUUAGGCGAUUACGAAUAACAUUCAUAAAAUAGAAGCGAAACGAUACAGCUGAACAUGUUCGUGACAUUUGGCAAUCGUUCUCGUUUGCUAGUUAUUAAAUGAACAAACAUCUAUUAGCAAACGCUCCUAUUCAAUAUAAAUACAGGCCUACACUUUAUUCACAACUUUCAGAAUGAUGUUGCGCAAAUGGAGGAGGAAGUUAAGCUACAUAGAUCAAUUUAGGAAGUUUAUUUUUCGUUUGACUGACUUUUUUAUUAGUGAUAUGAAUUGUUGUCAAUCACGAUAGUAGUUAUUAUAAAUGAUGAUGUUUUAAAAACUAAUCAUGUUGUAGCAGAAAAAUAGCAGGAUUAUAGUACACUACAAGCUACAUAAAAGUGGAAAAACUUAAAUGACAUCGAUGAGCAAUUGUACUAGUUGUUACAUAUCAGUGCCCAUUGGUCUACUUACACAAAAUUGAUUAUCAAGCUACGGGUAAAUUCAAGUCAAUGCAAAGCAGAAUUGCCCGGUCAAGCCCGAGAUUGUUACUAAAGUAUAAAUAAGACAUUAAUGCUGUUUGUCUUGUGUGGAUAUCUAAUUUGUGGAAAAAUUGUUUAAAAAACGUUUUACAAUUUCUGUAAUAAAACAAUCUAACAGUGAUAACAACAAACAACAAACAGUUGCUUGACAAAAACAAACAAAUAAAAUCUUUCAAAGUGGUUCAUCUCGUGCACAAAACGUGAGCGACAGAUACGCUGCACUUUCGAGCAUGCAAAAUAAAAAGGAUUCGUUGCCGGAAAGAGUGAAAAGUAGAAAGCAGCUUAAACUGUCAAAAGACUUUUAUAUUUCUUUAAACAACUGUCUCAACAACAACAAAAAUGAAGUGUUCGUCAUUUGUUGACAUAAACCUUUUCCGAAAUGAAAAGAUGUAGUGAAUGGAAAAAAUAAAUGUCAAACUUUCCAAAUAUCCAAAUUCUAAUAUGAAUUGCGUUCAAGGGGUUUAAGGGUGUUAUUACACUAGCUGAAGACAUUUUUGUGCUAGAUACUGAUAUUGGCAGAUAUAAUUCAAACCCCAUAGUAUGAAACUCGACAAUUGGUACAUUCGACACAAUUCACCACCAAAAUGGCGAGAUGUAAAAAAAGAUAAUACAUGAGCAAAUAAAAACAUUUACUUCAGAUUUUUACGAAUACUGUGUUUACGAAUAUUGUACAGCAUUACAUAUGAAGGAAAUGAUAAGGUAAUAAUCGUGAUGAAGAAAGCACUUCGCUAGGGUGCCCUGUGGUGAGCAUAAUUUAUAUCUAACAGUAGUUAGCGAACGAAAUCGUCGUUUUCAUUCUGAGGUCUCUGGUCAUUUCAAGCCCGGUUUGAGUACAACAAGACAAUCUAUUCAGUCCUUAGGGUGUAGAAAACAGCCUACAAAAAACCCGACUGAACAAAUGAAGAAUGAAACGCACUAAAUAGGAUAUAGCAAACCUUCUCCAGGAAUAUGUUGUCGUUCGCUUGUAUACGGUCUCGUAGCUUACGGACAUGGUGACUCUAUUUUACCGUUAAAGGUAAUUACACCAAUGAUAAGUAUAGCUCGAAUGCGAAAAUUUAUGCAAAACAUAAACCAAUUACAAUAUAAUGAUUAUAUUUACUAUACAAGAAUAUGGAACUUAUGAUAAAAGAUAUCGCAGCACCAGUGUAUUUUAUGGAAACAUUUAACCACUGACACAUACAUAUGAAAUAUGAAAAGUAUGCUGCAGUCGUUUGAAGAGGUGUGUGUGGACUGCUAAUGAUCCACUAUGCUACAUAGAUAUCACGAGGAGAAUGAUACAGGGGAAAUUAAUUUCAAAUGAAAUACCUUUAUGUUUGUGUGUCAUGCGCAUUUUCACUUGCGGCUUUCUUUUCAAAACGAUGCAUUUUUUUAUAUUUUGUUUAAGUUGUCAGAAAUUACAAGAAACAAACUUUUAUUUGAUAUUAACUUAAUUUUUUUUAGUACCGCCAUUCUUACCGCCUAAGGAUUUAUUUUUUAGUUUUUGGAGUUUGGAUGAUGUUUCGAAUUUGUUUGAAGCUUUAGUAAUCUUUGAAUUUUAUUAAGAACACAGUGAACUUAUAUCCCUUACGCAUAUAUUGUUUUCAUAAUCAUUUUGCACUUAAUCGAUACACAGUCCGUAGCAUAACUAUUAGACACCUUGAUUAUUGGGAACAAUAGAAAAAAUUGAAGAGAUAAAUAAAAGUGAUGUUCUACAACAUUGUCUAUUAGGAGAAAAAAAAAUUAUUAGACCGUUUAAAAAACAUCAAAAAUCAAAAUACGUGAUAUUUCGCAUUGUAACCCUUUUAAGUGCAUGCAAGAUCUCUCAUAACAUAAAAUUAAUUUGUCAGAAAAAUUAAUUACAUGAUUAAAGAUGCGUUGAAACUACUUGUGAUUUUUAAUGAUUUUUAAAAUGAGUAUAACUAUCGAAAAACAAAAAAGGUAGGUGUAUUUUAGUUAUGUUAUAUACAGCAUUUUUCCAAUAUACAAAAUGUAUUUUUGUAUCAUCUACAACCUUGUAGAAUAUCACUUUUAUCCAUUUCUUAAUCUUUUUCAUAUAUUCUCAAAAAACUAGGCGUUUUAUAGUUAUGCUGCGGUCUGUAUAUUGAGUACAUGAUUGAUAAAAACCUCACAUCUUACAUGUUUUACGAUAGUCUCAAGAAUCAAAAUCGUCAGCUCCACAAUAUCCACAAAAACUUCCUAUUCAUUAUAAACUUGCACAAAUCAUUAUCAGUUUCGGAGUAGAAAAUGCGAAGAAAAAUUAAUUAUUCAUUCAGACGAUGUGCGUAGUUGCCUCGGGACGAGGUAGCUAGGAAUAAAAAUUUGCAUUUUAUGCAUACGCUUGAAGAUGGGAUUCUUGAUUGGAGAGAGAUAUUCAAAUUUGUAACCACUAGGGGCCACCACUCGAGCACCUUUGAUACCAAGGCAGUUGAAUUUGAAAAUCGAUAACGAUAAUUGAGUAUUUUGUGGUGAUGCAAUCGAUUCAACAUGAAGGUAGUUCAUGUUUUCUUACUUAAAAUCCCAGAAUGUAUAUUUUAUGAAGUAAGUAAGUUAGUGUUAACGAAUUUACGAUGAAAAAGAUUAGCACAAAUCAAAUAACCUUUACUUGUUAUUUGGUUGUAUUUAGACAUUUUUGUUAUUAUAGUAUCUGGCCUUAAAUAAUACGCUAAAAUUGGUCUAAUUUAAUGCACAGUCUGUUAUUUUUGUGUCUGCAUUUUCCGUAACUGUCAUUAAUCUUUUAGAACAUACAAAAUAUAAAAAAAUGAAACAGAUUGAAAAGCCAGACCGUUUUGUGGUUGCUGAAGGUAAGGCGUUUUAAUUUUCUGCAAGAUUAGAUAUGCAAACUGCUGAUGAACAAUAUUGUCGCAUAAUCAGUCCAGUGGCUAACAGCUAUGUAUGUUUUUUAUAUAUAUAAUAGCAUAAUUAUAGUCAUACGGCCUGCCCGUCCUAAGUGAAAUAAAAAAUAGCAUAAUUUGAUAUGAAACAUACAAUCAAAAGGCGGUACGACCUAAAUAAAAAAAUGAAUUGCUUAACAUCAUUGAUGCAAGUGAAAUUGCCUGACUGAUGAUAUGUUGCUUAUAAAUGUAAUUCAACCUACAAUUCACACAAUACAUUGUAGAUUUCAUGAAUGGUAAACCAACUCGCAAGAAAGAUGACAGACGACGAAUACUCUUUAACACGUACAAACUCGAGUAAUAAGAACAAUUAAAUCUAAAGGAACCUGCUAUAUGUCGAUUGUUUAUAGCUAUCCAAAAGCUAUAUGCAUAUGAGAGAAAAAGUUUUUACUGUAGUAAAAGUUUUGCAGAAUAAUUCAGACAACAUGAGCAUCACAUUGAUCAUAAAAAAUGAGCAUCAAAUACAAACAGUAAUGAACGAAUUAAUUCAAUCGCAAAGUGCUAUUAAAUAUCAAAUAACAAUUAAAAUUUAGAACGUCAUUUCAAAUAUAUCGUUUGGUGAUGAUUUUAAACAUUUUAACCAACCUGAUAUCAGAAGAAGUGUUCACCACGGUUGAACUGCUGUCAAUUUUCGGCGCACGGUUAAUCCACCCACCGGUUAAUCCACCACCGGAUGGAUAAUCGACAGACGACUGUAUUUGGUAAAAUUUUCGAAUGAAAUAACUCUUCUUUUUGUUUUGGUAGGGAUGGGGUUUUUUUAUGUUCACUUCGCGUCUAUCUGUAUUGGUCCAUCCAUCCAGCAACAUAAAUAACGAUAAGAUAUACAGAUGAGAAAGUUCCUUUUUUGGAACGGAACGGAGCGAACCUUGUAGGUUCACUGAACCUACUUCAACGGGAAAAUUAAACAAUUUUUUUAUUAAUAACUGAGGCUAUAUUGCUAACAAUUCCAACAAUUAUUUCUUCCUUUUCAUUCUAGAAAUAAUAUAUUAGAAUAAUUCGUGUGUAGUGUUUUUAAAAGUGAUAGUGGUUGUGUCCAUCGUGCAGUCUUCUCACAACAAUAUCGGAUCUCUUGUACAUACAUUUCUCAAGAAACAGCUUCCCCAUAUAUAUAUAUUCCAGAAAAGAAUUGAACAAUAGUUUCCACUUGCUUUGCUAAUUUCAGCAUUGCUUUCGUUCCAAUAUAAACGGCUGAACAGUUCUGAACAAGCAAAAAGCACUAAGAGUGCAUGUUGCUACCUUCUCAUGCACAGAAAAUGUAGGUGCAAAAACCCUACUUUGUGUUUUUAUUUGAUCCUGAGUACGUUCGAACAACUCAAGGAACGGAACGAACCUAGUAGAUUCGGAACGAAAUUCUCAUCACUAAUAUGAAGCAAUAGCUGUUUAAUCGAUGCCAUGGGUUAUGAAUAAAAAUACAAAUGCUGCCUUCCCUUCUCAUUUGGCAUUUCUUUCCGUACCGGAUCAAAGUAAAAACGAACCAAGUAAAAAUCCAGCAACGAGAAACGAGCUUAAUGGCAGCAUGCAUUCCGACUCGGGUUUCGGUUGAGGCAAAACGCACGAGCGUUCCGAGAAUAAGAAAUCAUUUUCAGCACAAGCUUCGGGCCUGUACACCAUGAUGUAAAGAUUUUUUUUUACAAAUACCGUGUUAGAUAGAAUGACCGUAAGAUUAUUUUAUAUUUUUGUCAGCUACAUUCAGCUUUCCCUGAUUGACAAAGAACUUACAAGCGAAGAUGAGAAAACGAAAAUAUUGCUUAAUGUUUGGUGAAAAAUAAUUACAAUUUAUUAAGGACGAUAAAAAAUAGAUCCACGGGAAAAUAAUGUUAAAUAGUUUACUCUAAAGCAGGCGAGAAAGGACAGAAGGUAUUGGUUUCACGCGGGAAUG